GACGAACGCUGGCGGCGUGCUUAACACAUGCAAGUCGAACGGAAAGGCCUCUUUCGGGGGGUACUCGGGUGGCGAACGGGUGAGUAACACGUGAGUAACCUGCCCUUGACUUUGGGAUAACUUCAGGAAACUGGGGCUAAUACCGGAUAGGAACUCCUGCUGCAUGGUGGGGGUUGGAAAGUUUCGGCGGUUGGGGAUGGACUCGCGGCUUAUCAGCUUGUUGGUGGGGUAGUGGCUUACCAAGGCUUUGACGGGUAGCCGGCCUGAGAGGGUGACCGGCCACAUUGGGACUGAGAUACGGCCCAGACUCCUACGGGAGGCAGCAGUGGGGAAUAUUGCACAAUGGGUGGAAGCCUGAUGCAGCAACGCCGUGUGCGGGAUGACGGCCUUCGGGUUGUAAACCGCUUUCGCUCAUGACGAAGCUUUGUGUGACGGUAGUGGGUAAAGAAGCACCGGCUAACUACGUG
rnacentral:rRNA from 1 species